rnacentral:rRNA from 1 species
GACGAACGCUGGCGGCGUGCUUAACACAUGCAAGUCGAACGGAAAGGCCCUGCUUUUGUGGGGUGCUCGAGUGGCGAACGGGUGAGUAACACGUGAGUAACCUGCCCUUGACUUUGGGAUAACUUCAGGAAACUGGGGCUAAUACCGGAUAGGAGCUCCUGCUGCAUGGUGGGGGUUGGAAAGUUUCGGCGGUUGGGGAUGGACUCGCGGCUUAUCAGCUUGUUGGUGGGGUAGUGGCUUACCAAGGCUUUGACGGGUAGCCGGCCUGAGGGGGUGACCGGCGACAUUGGGACUGAGAUACGGCCCAGACUGCUACGGGAGGCAGCAGUGGGGAAUAUUGCACAAUGGGCGGAAGCCUGAUGCAGCAACGCCGCGUGCGGGAUGACGGCCUUCGGGUGGUAAACCGCUUUCGCCUGUGACGAAGCGUGAGUGACGGUAAUGGGUAAAGAAGCACCGGCUAACUACGUG